UAAAAUGGCCGCAUGUAAAGUUG
rnacentral:siRNA from 1 species